rnacentral:tRNA from 1 species
AGUGGGUAAGUGCUUGGCUGCUAACCAAAAGGUUGGUGGUUCAAAUCCACCAGCCGCUC